UACGGGGGGGGCAAGCGUUGUUCGGAAUUACUGGGCGUAAAGGGCGCGUAGGCGGUUCGCUAAGUUGAAUGUGAAAACUCUGGGCUUAACCCAGAGCCUGCAUCCAAAACUGGCGAACUGGAGUACUGGAGGGGAAAGCGGAAUUCCUGGUGUAGCGGUGAAAUGCGUAGAUAUCAGGAGGAACACCGGUGGCGAAGGCGGCUUUCUGGACAGUAACUGACGCUGAGGCGCGAAAGCGUGGGGAGCAAUCAGG
rnacentral:rRNA from 1 species